rnacentral:rRNA from 1 species
GGUAUGACUCUCGAUAAUGGAUAUCUCGGCUCUUGCAUUGAUGAAGAACGUAGCAAAAUGCGAUACAUGGUGUGAAUUAUAGAAUCCCGCGAAACCAUCGAGUCUUUGAAUGCAAGUUGCGCCCGAGGCUAUCCGAUUGAGGGCACGCCUGCUUGGACGCCAUUC